AAACUCCACCCUGCCUCUCUCUGGCCUUCCUUUUGGAUCUCACUUACCUUCAGCAAGUAGCUUGGGAAUCCCUGGAUCAUGUUCUCCACUCAAGGACAAACUCUCCACUCCCAGACCCACCUCAUUCUUCCCCCUGGAAUUUUGCCUGGUUCCGGAUUUUAACCAACAUUUUUCUUUAUAAUAAAACAUCUGAAAUCUUC